rnacentral:rRNA from 1 species
UACGUAGGGGGCUAGCGUUGUCCGGAAUCAUUGGGCGUAAAGCGCGUGUAGGCGGUCCGGUAAGUCCGCUGUGAAAGUCGGGGGGUCAACCCUCGAAUGCCGGUGGAUACUGUCGGGCUAGAGUGCGGAAGAGGCGAGUGGAAUUCCUGGUGUAGCGGUGAAAUGCGCAGAUAUCAGGAGGAACACCAAUUGCGAAGGCAGCUCGCUGGGACGUUACUGACGCUGGAGACGCGAAAGCGUGGGGAGCAAACAGG